rnacentral:misc_RNA from 1 species
UGGCUCUGGCAUCGAUGAAGAACGCAGCGAAAUGCGAUAAGUAAUGUGAAUUGCAGAAUUCAGUGAAUCAUCGAAUCUUUGAACGCACAUUGCGCCCGCUAGUAUUCUGGCGGGCAUGCCUGUUCGAGCGUCAUUUCAACCCUCAGGACUCUUCGGAGAACUGGUGUUGGGGAUCAGCAUAGGUGCGGGGUUAUACCCGCCAGCUGGCCCUGAAAUACAGUGGCGGUCUUGCUCUGACUCCCUUGCGUAGUAACUCACCUCGCCUGUGGAAAAUUAGCCUGACCACGCCGUAAAACCCCCUAUUUUUUUAUGGUUGACCUCGAAUCAGGUAGGAAUACCCGCUGA